UGGGGAAUAUUGGACAAUGGGCGAAAGCCUGAUCCAGCAAUGCCGCGUGAGUGAUGAAGGCCUUAGGGUUGUAAAGCUCUUUUACCAGGGAUGAUAAUGACAGUACCUGGAGAAUAAGCUCCGGCUAACUCCGUGCCAGCAGCCGCGGUAAUACGGAGGGAGCUAGCGUUGUUCGGAAUUACUGGGCGUAAAGCGCGCGUAGGCGGUUUCUCAAGUCAGAGGUGAAAGCCCGGGGCUCAACCCCGGAACUGCCUUUGAAACUAGGAGACUAGAAUCUUGGAGAGGUCAGUGGAAUUCCGAGUGUAGAGGUGAAAUUCGUAGAUAUUCGGAAGAACACCAGUGUCGAAGGCGACUGACUGGACAAGUAUUGACGCUGAGGUGCGAAAGCGUGGGGAGCAAACA
rnacentral:rRNA from 1 species